rnacentral:rRNA from 1 species
GAUGAACGCUGGCGGCGUGCCUAAUACAUGCAAGUCGAGCGAACAGAUGAGGAGCUUGCUCCUCUGACGUUAGCGGCGGACGGGUGAGUAACACGUGGAUAACCUACCUAUAAGACUGGGAUAACUUCGGGAAACCGGAGCUAAUACCGGAUAAUAUAUUGAACCGCAUGGUUCAAUAGUGAAAGACGGUUUUGCUGUCACUUAUAGAUGGAUCCGCGCCGCAUUAGCUAGUUGGUAAGGUAACGGCUUACCAAGGCAACGAUGCGUAGCCGACCUGAGAGGGUGAUCGGCCACACUGGAACUGAGACAGGGUCCAGACUCCUACGGGAGGCAGCAGUAGGGAAUCUUCCGCAAUGGGCGAAAGCCUGACGGAGCAACGCCGCGUGAGUGAUGACGGUCUUCGGAGCGUAAAACUCUGUUAUUAGGGAAGAACAAAUGUGUAAGUAACUAUGCACGUCUUGACGGUACCUAAUCAGAAAGCCACGGCUAACUACGUG